UACGAAGGGUGCAAGCGUUACUCGGAAUUACUGGGCGUAAAGCGUGCUGUAGGUGGUUUGUUAAGUCUGUUGUGAAAGCCCCGGGCUCAACCUGGGAAUGGCAAUGGAUACUGGCAAGCUAGAGUGCGGUAGAGGGUAGUGGAAUUCCCGGUGUAGCGGUGAAAUGCGUAGAGAUCGGGAGGAACACCAGUGGCGAAGGCGGCUACCUGGACCAGCACUGACACUGAGGCACGAAAGCGUGGGGAGCAAACAGGG
rnacentral:rRNA from 1 species